CCUACGGGAGGCAGCAGUGGGGAAUAUUGGACAAUGGGCGAAAGCCUGAUCCAGCAAUGCCGCGUGAGUGAUGAAGGCCUUAGGGUUGUAAAGCUCUUUUACCAGGGAUGAUAAUGACAGUACCUGGAGAAUAAGCUCCGGCUAACUCCGUGCCAGCAGCCGCGGUAAUACGGAGGGAGCUAGCGUUGUUCGGAAUUACUGGGCGUAAAGCGCACGUAGGCGGCGACUCAAGUCAGAGGUGAAAGCCUGGAGCUCAACUCCAGAACUGCCUUUGAAACUAGGUUGCUAGAAUCUUGGAGAGGCGAGUGGAAUUCCGAGUGUAGAGGUGAAAUUCGUAGAUAUUCGGAAGAACACCAGUGGCGAAGGCGACUCGCUGGACAAGUAUUGACGCUGAGGUGCGAAAGCGUGGGGAGCAAACAGGAUUAGAUACCCCGGUAGUC
rnacentral:rRNA from 1 species